GAUGAACGCUGGCGGCGUGCCUAACACAUGCAAGUCGAGCGAAGCGAUUUAACGGAAGUUUUCGGAUGGAAGUUAAAUUGACUGAGCGGGCGACGGGUGAAGGUACGCGUAGGGUUAACGUGCCUCAUACAGGGGGAUAACAGUUAGAAAUGACUGCUAAUACCGCAUAAGCGCACAGCAUCGCAUGAUGCAGUGUGAAAAACUCCGGUGGUAUGAGAUGGACCCGCGUCUGAUUAGCUAGUUGGUGAGGUAACGGCUCACCAAGGCGACGAUCAGUAGCCGACCUGAGAGGGUGAACGGCCACAUUGGGACUGAGACACGGACCCAA
rnacentral:rRNA from 1 species